GAUGAACGCUGACAGAAUGCUUAACACAUGCAAGUCUUUGGCGAAGCUGUGCUUGCACAGCCUAGCCAAGGCGGACGGGUGAGUAACGCGUAAGGAACUUGCCCUGCAGUCAGGGAUAACAGACGGAAACGACUGAUAAGACCUGGUAAAGUCAGGCGGACUCAUGUCCAGCCUGAUGAAAAGAGAUGCUGCAGGAGAGCCUUGCGUCCUAUUAGCUUGUUGGUGGGGUAACGGCCCACCAAGGCGAUGAUAGGUAGCCGGCCUGAGAGGGUGGACGGCCACAAGGGGACUGAGAUACGGCCCUUACUCCUACGGGAGGCAGCAGUGGGGAAUAUUGGACAAUGGGGGCAACCCUGAUCCAGCAAUUCUGUGUGCACGAUGAAGGUUUUCCGAUUGUAAAGUGCUUUCAGCAGGGAAGAAAAAAUGACGGUACCUGCAGAAGAAGCGACGGCUAAAUACGUG
rnacentral:rRNA from 1 species